UACGAAGGGGACUAGCGUUGUUCGGAAUUACUGGGCGUAAAGCGCACGUAGGCGGAUUUGUAAGUCAGGGGUGAAAUCCCGGGGCUCAACCUCGGAACUGCCUUUGAUACUGCAAAUCUCGAGUCCGGAAGAGGUGAGUGGGAAUUCCUAGUGUAGAGGGUGAAAUUCGUAGAUAUUAGGAAGAACACCAGUGGCGAAGGCGGCUCACUGGUCCGGUACUGGACGCUGAGGUGCGAAAGCGUGGGGAGCAACAGGG
rnacentral:rRNA from 1 species